rnacentral:rRNA from 1 species
CUACGGGGGGCUGCAGUGGGGAAUAUUGGACAAUGGGCGAAAGCCUGAUCCAGCCAUGCCGCGUGUGUGAAGAAGGCCUUCGGGUUGUAAAGCACUUUCAGUGGGGAAGAAAGCCUUGGGGCUAAUACCCUCGAGGAAGGACAUCACCCACAGAAGAAGCACCGGCUAACUCCGUGCCAGCAGCCGCGGUAAUACGGAGGGUGCGAGCGUUAAUCGGAAUUACUGGGCGUAAAGCGCGCGUAGGCGGUCUGAUAAGCCGGUUGUGAAAGCCCCGGGCUCAACCUGGGAACGGCAUCCGGAACUGUCAGGCUAGGGGGCAGGAGAGGAAGGUAGAAUUCCCGGUGUAGCGGUGAAAUGCGUAGAGAUCGGGAGGAAUACCAGUGGCGAAGGCGGCCUUCUGGACUGACACUGACGCUGAGGUGCGAAAGCGUGGGUAGCAAACAGGAUUAGAUACCCGUGUAGUC